AGGGAGGUGGUCAGGGGCCUAUAGUCAGAAAGCAAAUAGGUCUAAAGGUUAGUCAAGCUAAGGGGCAGGUGAAGGCACUCUUUGUCAGGGGUUUGAGGCCUAGAAGCAGGUAAAUGCACAUGUGUCAACUGAGAUAAGCUGGGUUAUACUUGGAAGAGUCCCUGUUCAAAAAUUCCCCACUACAGGCAAGCCACCAAUACCUGAAGUCCCACUGAAAGUGAUUCAUUCUUCUGGUGUAGCUUUACCCUCCCAGUUCAGUCCAUUCUUAAAAUGAAGCAGUGAAUGGACGUAAGGAAAAGUGGAGAGAGAGCCCCACCAAAGCGGCCACCUCAGGAGAACUGGAAGGCGAAAUGUUUGAAGGGGAAUAGCCUGAGAAUAAAGCAAUGUAGAAGAAAGUAGAGUUGCAUGAAAAACAGUGUCCUGAUGACAUCAUCGAGGCUGUGGAUCCAGCCAUGACUUUAGCCAACUACUCCAGGACUUCCAGGUCAAUCCUCCUCUUUUUGCCAAGGAAGACUGGCCCUGAGCUAACAUCCAUGCCCAUCUUCCUCCACUUUAUA